CACGUAGGGUGCGAGCGUUGUCCGGAAUUAUUGGGCGUAAAGGGCGCGUAGGCGGCUUUGCAAGUGGCGGGUGAAAUCCCUCGGCUUAACCGAGGAACUGCCUGUCAAACUGCAUGGCUUGAGACCGGGAGAGGUGAGUGGAAUUCCCAGUGUAGCGGUGAAAUGCGUAGAUAUUGGGAGGAACACCAGUGGCGAAGGCGGCUCACUGGACCGGUACUGACGCUGAUGCGCGAAAGCGUGGGGAGCAAACAGGG
rnacentral:rRNA from 1 species